AAAAAAAAAAGAGGAGGAGGAGAACGAGGAGGAAAGAGAAAAAAGAAAAUUUUUAGGUACUUAUAAGUUGAAGAUCUCACUCAAUGUUUAUCAAAUAGAAACUAAAUUCUUAUUUUACCAUGGCUAGAAAACAUGGCCUUCAGUCAUGGGACUUGGCAGUUGGCCAUCAGAAUGGUAUGACAAAUAAAGUUACGUAACAGGUUGCCACUAAGCUGGCUGGGCUAGGGGACACAGCAAAAGGUAUUAUAUUUGCAGGAAAAAAACUCACAAGGUAUAACACAACGGGGAGGGGGAAUCCUGGCCAACUUGGCCAUGUGUCGUCAGGAUUAACCACGAACAACAGACCUAUAGGAAGAAACCGUGCCCCUUAGCUACUGGGUUUCUUUUGUACGAAACUAGAAACUAAUCUUUCUUAAUUUUCAGUACCACAAAAGAUCCUGUAACCCUACCGCACUCCCAUCCACAGCAGAGAAUUAAAAAGUUCAUUUAUGUUUCCCCCUUGCUACGGAAUAACACCUAACUUCUGUGGAUAUAGUCUCUUUAAGUCAGUAAAGGCGCACGCAGGGAGUUCGAGCUCAUCUAGAAACACCAGGCACCAUGGGAGUUCUCCUUCCAGAAGUUACAGAGGUAUAAAAUCUAUUCAAGUCUCAAAAAGUGGGCCAGGUCUCGGGGAAGAAAGACUGACUGUAUAAACACGGACCUUAAGAAAUCAUUUUAAUCACUUAUGUAAGCUAUUAGUGCAAUAUAUACACUCAGUGUUUCCUAUGGCCUAAAUCUGUGAGUAUAAUUUAUCUAAUAAAGAACUGAAAAAGCUGGCUAGAGCUGGGGUGGUGGUGCGCACCUUUAAUCCCAGGGCUCAGGAGGCAGAAGCAGGAUCUGAGUUCAAGGCCAACUACAAAAGGUCUACACAAACAAAUAAAAUGUCAGUGACUUGGUUCAGAGGGUAGAGGUAGCUGCUUGCCAAGCAGGUUGACUGGAGUUGGACCCAGCCCCCUGUCCCACGUGGUAGAAAAGGGGACCCAUGUCUGGCCUCCACACUAUCACCACUUUGUGCACAGUGGAAGGAGAAUCUCUACAGUUGCAGAAAAUGGAGCUUAGGCACAAGAGAGGAGUCAGCUGCUCUGUCUCCUGGUUGUUUCAUCAGCAGCUGGGUUUGUGUGCUAUCUGUGAGGGAACUGAACACGGAGGGCGAGACGAAGCACAGCUGGACAGGUUCUCACUACGUAGCCCGGGCUGGCACAGAACCCACUGGCAUUUGCUGCCUGGCACUGGUUCUUUUACCUUUUGGAGACAGUUUCUCACAAUAUAGAACGAACUAUCAUCAACCCCCUAAUGCUCCUCACCUCCUCAGCCUUCCGGGUACUAGGAUUACAGAACCACCAACUCUGACUUCUGGUUCCUUUUUGAAAUAGGCCAGAAAUAUGGGCAAUAAUCGCCUUAUGGGAGGAGUGGGAAGUUGCAGAUUCUCAAGAAGAGGGUAGCACAUAUCAUAAAAACAACAACAACAACAAAAUAGGAUCUUAAGCCAUUAUACCAAAUGCUGGAAGAAGGAAAAGAAAUGGGGGAGGGGGAAUGGAGGGAGAGAAGAGAAAUGGAGGGGGGGAGGGAGAAGGGAGGAGAAAUGGAGGGGGGGAGGGAGAAGGGAGG